CCUACGGGAGGCUGCAGUGGGGAAUAUUGGACAAUGGGGGGAACCCUGAUCCAGCCAUGCCGCGUGUGUGAAGAAGGCCCUCGGGUUGUAAAGCACUUUCAGUGAGGAAGAACGCCUGGUGGUGAAUACCCAUCAGGAAAGACAUCACUCACAGAAGAAGCACCGGCUAACUCCGUGCCAGCAGCCGCGGUAAUACGGAGGGUGCGAGCGUUAAUCGGAAUUACUGGGCGUAAAGCGCGCGUAGGUGGAUUGAUAAGCCGGUUGUGAAAGCCCCGGGCUCAACCUGGGAACGGCAUCCGGAACUGUCAAGCUAGAGUGCAGGAGAGGAAGGUAGAAUUCCCGGUGUAGCGGUGAAAUGCGUAGAGAUCGGGAGGAAUACCAGUGGCGAAGGCGGCCUUCUGGACUGACACUGACACUGAGGUGCGAAAGCGUGGGUAGCAAACAGGAUUAGAUACCCCGGUAGUC
rnacentral:rRNA from 1 species